CUUCACCUCUUUAUGACGCAGAAGGAAAAACGAAACUUAUAAACCAUGGAGAAAAAAACAACACAGCCGCGGAGGGGAAACUGAAACCAAAAAGGUUGAUAUCGUUUGGAAUGUGAAGGCUGUUUCCUGUGCAUCAUCUUCUGCAUUCUCUUCACACACCAGUCACUCUGCAGUGGAACAGAACUUCCUCUGUUCAGGGGUCAGGGUUCAUCACUGACUGAUUCUUCUGUUGCUGCUCAGUGCUUCCACCAGUUUCUCUUUCAUGAUCUCCUUUGAUGAGUAUUGAGAUUUCUUUACCCUGAGGCAUCAGAACAGGAAGAGGAACCGAUGGAUGACUCUCAUUGCUGCGUCCAAGCUGAUUUUGGUCGUUGCAACCAAAGGAGUAGAUCUUAUUGUUUUCUUGUAACACCAAGGUGUGGUAUCUGAAAUGAAAUGGAUGAAAAUGUAAAAAAAAAACAUAUUUUUUCUCACGUUAGUCCAUGAACAUGAAAGACAAUUCCGGUUGUGUUCUGAGCUAUAGUUUGUUGUCUUCUUUAGUAUUUUCUUGUAGUUUAUUAAUUUAUCAGGACAGUAUUGUUCAAAUACAUUAAGCUUAAGAAGCAAACAUGCUUGCACCAGAUGUAGCUUAAUAACUAAUUUCAUGUACUUAAAUAAAUAAUUAUAUUGCAAUUAGCAGCAAGCCAACUUUAUUUAAAUGGCUUUUUUUCCCUAAAAAAAAUCCCAAAUUGUUAAAUAACAUCUUUAAUUAGCUCUAAAAAUGUUUUUUAACGUUCAAAAAAUAAAGAAUAAAAAUAAAA